rfam:Paenibacillus sp. FSL R7-0331, complete genome.
UCCUUCCAAAACGAUAAGAGCCCUACCUCUCUCUUAUCCUUGCGGCUCCGAGGCCGCGCCAGUGUGAAUCGGAAUGCUAUAUUCGAA